UACAGAGGUGGCAAGCGUUGUUCGGAAUUACUGGGCGUAAAGGGCGCGUAGGCGGUUCGUUAAGUCCUGUGUGAAAUCCCCCGGCUCAACCGGGGAACUGCACAGGAAACUAGCGGGCUUGAGUUCGGGAGAGGGAAGCGGAAUUCCGGGUGUAGCGGUGAAAUGCGUAGAUAUCCGGAGGAACACCGGUGGCGAAGGCGGCUUCCUGGACCGACACUGACGCUGAGGCGCGAAAGCUAGGGGAGCAAACGGG
rnacentral:rRNA from 1 species